AGGAAAUGGCAGAGCCAGAGGCGCCCCGAAAGCCAAACAGGCGCACGCCUAUUUCUGGUUGCUCCAGGAGAGGAGGGAGCAGCUAAGAGCACCGGCGUCAAAAAGCGCUUUGCGCCAUUUUCUGCGGGUUCGUGGGUUUUCAGUGAUCGACCACGGUGGGUAGCCAACGUGGUACCCUCCACGUGGUGGUGGGCUCCAGGUCCAAUAGUCAGUGGGGAUGGGAAGUGGAAUCCAAUAACAUCUGGAGGGCACCAGGUUGGCUACUCCAGUCAGUUGCCUACCAUCUGUUCUAAUCAAUCACCUUUGGUUGUGUGCAGUCUAAUCAAUCAAUCAGUCAAUCAGCCUUCAGGAAAUCGUAUGGGUCUCUGUGUUCUUUCAGAAGGAAUAGGUGCAUCCCAAUAGUUAUCUGGACCAUUGUUUAAAGUACUGUAUGUUGGAGGAUGAAUCGUAUUUUGAAACUGUUCUUAUUUUUUUAUAUGCCAGGUUCCUUGCCACCCUGAGACUGAAGGCAGCAUCAACAUCAUCAGAAUAAAAUUUUGGUUAUGGUGCAAUGCUAUGGGUUUUUGGGGGUGGGGGUGGUAAACCUCUUAGACUUAGAAGUUUGAUUACAAUCAGGCAGCUUAUAAAUGUAGGGGAAAUAUGUGUGUUUACUCAGAAGUAAGUCCCACUGUGCUCAAUGCAGUCUACACUCUCUAGUAAUAGUGUUUAGGAUUUAAAUCUUUGUAACCACCUGUCUCAGGUUAUCUUAGCUACAACAGCACCCUUAACAAAGUACAGCUCCCAGAAUUCUUUGAGGGAAGCCGUAACUGUUUGGUGUCAUAGCACUAUAAAUGUAUAUUAUGCAUAUGGCCACAGUGAGCACUACUGGGCUUUCAGUCUCUAUAUUAACUAACUCCCAGAGUUCCACUUCUGCCAUGUAUUUGACAACCUUUAUGAACUCUGUACUCCAUUAUGCAGUUGGUCAAUAUAACAGGAACGGUCAUGAGUAUCUGCACACUUGAGGCGUUUUAUUUCAGUGAAUCGCCCAGCUAGCUAGGGUGAAAAGAUAAAGGCCUGUGUCAAUAUUUGGAGUGGCAAGUCCACAGUUUAAAGAGCAAGUUGGCACAGAUGCUAUGUCAUGCACAAGUCACAUUUCAUGCAGCAAAGUCAAAAGGAGGGAAAAUGCAAUAGGUAGAAAGAUGCAAGUAGGCUGCCCAGCUGCAAAGGAUAGAACAUAUUCGAACUGGUUUGAGAAGCAUUAUGGAUGAAACAUGUAUGUGGGUGAAAGGACAAAAGCCAGGGAUACCUGGCUUACUAAUAUAGUACAUGUGAAAAGGAUCUAGGGGUCUUGGUGGACCACAAGCUUCACAUGAGUCAACAGUGUGAUGCAGCAGCAGCAAAAAAGAAAGAAAGAAAAAGCUAAUGCUAUUCUAGGCUACAUCAACAAAAGUAUAGUGUCCAGAUCAAGGGAAGUCAUAGUACCACUCUAUUCUGCCUUGGUCAGACCACAUCUGGAAUACUGUUUCCAGUUCUGAGUACCACAAUUUAAAAAGGAUGUUGACAAGCUGGAGUGUGUGCAGAGCAGGCCAACCAAGAGGAUCGACGGUCUGGAAACUAAGCCUGAUGAGGAACAGUUGAAGGAGCUGGGUGUGUUUAGUUUGGAAAAGAGGAGACUGAGGGGAGAUAUGGUAGCACCACUUAUUACCACCAAUUAAUAACGUGGCAGAUCCACUAACUGCCCUCAAUUAAAUAUAGUGCACCCACCUUACAGUAUACCAAUUAAACACAUUUCUACAAUUUACCACAGAUUAUCUAGUGGGGGAAUUGUGUGAGGGAAAGCUUAAUGAUUUAGACUCUAAAGAAAAGCUUUAUUAAACAAAAAGAAGUUUAUUAAAUGAAGUGAGUCAAGAUAUGCAUUCUUUCAGGCAGACGUUAACUUAUUUACUUUAAGUAACUAUGAGAUGACUCAGUCUUAAACACAAUACUAUAGGAACAACUCUUUGUAAACUUCAGUUACAAAAAAAUCAGGUGUUAACACUUCAGGUGGUAAAUAUCCAGGUUUCUAGAAUAGUUGGUAAAAUGCUUGACUCCAUUUCUGUCACUUAGAUAUUACAAUUAAAUACUUUUGACACCAUCCCGCUUCCUUUAUAGCUUAAUACUUUGGUUCACUUCUCCUCUGUUACCCACUCUUUUAACAAUCCUACACCUGAGGUAUUCUCAGACCCAGGGGAUCACCUCACCCCUUGGGCUAGGAGUCUUCAGUACCUAGAAAAACUCUUCCCUCCUGGCUAUACUGGCACCCAGGUAGCCUGCACAAGAUCUACCUUUCCUGGUUCACUCACAGCCUUCCCAGGACACUCUUGUCUCUAUACCUUUCCCAGACCCUCAACCAGGUCUCCCUAUCCAAGCUGCAACACUCUGUCCUCUCGCUAUGGAUAGUCUCCUCAGUGCGUAAGUUGAAUUUCACUCAGAACCAGUUCUCCUUAUCUCAUUCCCUAAUUCCCAACUCCAAUCAAACCAUAUUUCUUAACCUGAACCUUUGCCCCUUCUCAAAACCAAACCCCUGUCUAAUCUUCUCCCUCAGAAACUGCUCCUUUUAUUCUCCCCCCCCCCCACAAACUGACUCUGUAGCCAGUCUGUGAGAGGCUCUAGCACACUGGUGGAAUUUCAGAGGAACUGCAUCACCAGACUCUGCUGUCCGUCACAAAGCUGUCUUCAAAUAUCUAAAAGGCUGUCACGUUGGAAGAUGGAGCAAGCUUGUUUUCUCCUGCUCUGGAGGGUAGGACUUGAACCAAGUAACCAGAGAGGAGAUUCUGACUAAACAUUGGGAAGAACUUUUCUGACAGUGACAGCUGCUGUGACAAGAGGUGGUGGACUCUCCUUCCUUGGAGGUUUCUAAGCAGUUGUUGUUUAGUCGUGUCCGACUCUUCGUGACCCCAUGGACCAGAGCACGCCAGUCACUCCUGUCUUCCACUGCCUCCCGCAGUUUGGUCAGACCAAACUGCGGGAGGCAGUGGAAGACAGGAAUUAGAUCAUAUAUGACCUAGAUGAGAUUCCUGCAUUGCAGGGCGUUGGACUAGAUGACCCUCAGCUUCCAUUUCAACUCUACAAUUCUGUUAUUCUAUUAUUCCUCUUGUUGAGAGCCAGAGUAGGUAGCAGUUGUACACCUGAUCCACAUUGGGCUCCUGGUGUGCCUCUUUGAUGUGACAUUCUGCACUGGUUUAUGCAUGUGAGAUGCUCUCUCUUUUUUUAACUGGUCCAUUAUUCUGAGUGCAACAAAACAAUGUAGGAAUGCAUGCAAGGAACUGCCAUCCUGUAAGCAUGAAGCUGUUCACUGGGAUCCAUGCAUUUUCUGAAAUGGGACUGCAGUGCUAAAUCUUUUAUCCGUAAGGACGUGCAAAUUUGAGUUUUAAGGUAGUUUACAAAAAAAGAUCUGCUGUCUAGACAUAUUAACACAACUUCAUAGCCUUUCCUGCAACUCCGAUACUUUACACAAGCGCAUGAUUUGGUGGAGCCAGCAAAAAAGCAGAGAUCAAAUAACCAGAGUCAUGUUCCCUUUGUCAUAGCUCUGAAUUUUUCAGCAUCGCCUUCCACUGUCCUGGUCCCUUUCCAUCAUGCAUUAUUAAGAGGGGAUCCCCUCCCCCAACUGACUGGCAGUCUUUUUCUCACCUGGAGUGGGGCUGGGGAAGCAAGCAAGAAUUGGGGAGAAUUAGAAGCAAGCAACCAAAAAUAACAUUUGCAACAUCACAUUUUCAAAGGCACAAAUAACUUUUUUGUGUGUGAGGACAGUUUCACUCUGCAAGACUGCAAAGUUUAGGAAGCGAAGUAAUCACAGCUGGAGGUGAACUUUGUACUGUGAGUCCAAAUAUAUUUUACCCAGUUUGUUUAAUCUGAUAGAGAGAAGUCACAUUUCCCCCCAAGACUCAAACAAGUUGCUGGGGAAAUGCUAACCCUUCCUUCAUGAAACCCAGCCUUACACACUUAUUUACCUGGAAGUAACUCCCAUUGAACUCAGUGGAGCUUAAUUCUGAGCAGAAAUAGGUAGGAUUGCAGUGCAAAAUCAGUGAUUGUUAUCAAAAGCCACAUGUGUGUAUGUGUGCAAGAUUCAGCUUUUGGCACGCAACUUCACAUGUUGAUGGACAGCAAGCAACAGACAAAUGGACAAGAUAAACCUGGUUCACCCAACCCCACUGAAUAUACAUGUAGCUGCACAUAAUAUUUUUGCACACCCGCAGAAGUGAUGCAAAGCCUAUGGUGCAAAUAUUCUAAGACAGGUGGUGCUAUAGCUAUAGUGUCUUCUUCCCAAGGCUGAUAUUUUAUGCAUAGCAUAGCACAGUUCUUUUGCACUCACGUAAUAUUGCUGCUGCAAGCAGACUUGCAGUGUCUGUAUUCUUCUUGCUUGCUUUGUUUUGAGCCUCCUUUAUCCCUGCUCCGUCUCACGCACAGUCCUUGUUUCUUUCAGGCCCCUUUGUUGUCUGUCAAUGGCAUCGCUGGCAAGUGGACAAUAUAUCUAAGCAGCGGGAAUCAUUGCUUCCAUGGGAAAGGGCAGCAACUUUCCCCUGGUGACCCCAUGGCUUCUCUGGCUAUCCGUGAGUGAAUUGAACAGACGAGUGGUGCUGUUAGGGUAUUGGGGUUCAGGACUCAAUAACCUGUGGGUUCUGCCUGGACAGCCCAUGAGAUCCAGUUGUCAGUCAAACAGGACAUUUUUGCAUACCCUCCAACAUUUUUUCAAUAAAAAUAGGGACAUUCUAAAUAAUAAUAAUAAUAAUAAUAAUAAUAAUAAUAAAUAAUACCCCACCCAUCUGACUGGGUUGCCCCGGGCACUCUGGACAACAUCUAACAUAUAUAAAAACAUAAUAAAACAUUUUAAAAACUUCCCAAUACAGGGCUGCCUUCAGAUGUCUUUUAAAGGUUGUAUAGUUACUUCUUGGUUUGGGGUUCACAUAACUCCAUAUGCUCCAAUGUUUCUCCGAUGAAAAUAGGGACGUAUAGUAGAGGGUGAAAUACCCAAGAAAGUGCUUAUUCUUUUCCUCUACACAGUAACAGCAGCCAGAAUAAUUUAUGCCCAAAGGUGGAAGGACAAAAAUAGUCCCACAAAAGGAGACUGGCAGAAUAAGCUAAUAGAAUGCGCUGAGCUAGCAAUGUUGACUGCAAAGAUAAGAAAUGGGGAUGAGUUGGAUAUAAAAGAAGAGUGGGAAUACUUUGGUGAAUAUUUAAAGAAACAUAACAAAUCAGGUAAGUGGGGUUAGAUAUAUGAGCAGCAGUUAAAAAUAAGCAGAAGAGGGGUGGUAAUUAAGGUGAUACAGCUCAACAAGGACUACGGUAAACAAGACCCCCACAGAGGGAUGUGUGUGGGAGCUAAAGAGUGUAAGAUAAAUGAUGACAAUUGUAUAAUCGUUGUACUAAGAUAUGUAAAAUGCAUAAAUGUGUGUGUGUGUGAAAAUAGGGGCAUACUAAGGAAUUUGGACCUUCUGGGAUCAAUUCAGAUACCUGACAGCUUCUGUAAAUCCUGGACUGUCGCUGGAAAAUAGGGACACUUGGAAGGUCUGUUUUCUUAAACACAACGUAGUAGCCAGCAAGUAGUUGAAGGGUGGCACAGCAAAUAUGAGAACAGCACACGCUUUUAUACACUUCCAAGCAAAGGGACAGUUAGGCCUUUUAUGGCUGUGCUUCCUUCCACUAUAAUCAUGAGGUGUAGUAGCUUUCUUAUCUUUCCUUCCUUCCUUUGUCCUUAACAGUUCUAGCAAUAGCUCCUGCAUACCUGUUUUUCCAUCCUUCUCUUGCAGUGACAACCUUCGCAUUCCAACCUUCACUUGCUCAACCUUGCUCACCCACAUUUCAACCUUUAAUGUUCUCAUUUCUGUAUAUUUUUCCCCUCCAGCAACACAAGGCCAUGUAGCAGACUUUCUCUUUUUCUUUCCAUGGGCAGGGCAGUUGACCAUGAUCGAAAGGGAUUCAUCCAUCCUAUAACCAUUUGGGACCCUGCUAUUUUUGAUGGUUUUCAGUUGUGUGGAUUUCUUGUACAGUUUACCUUACCUUCUCUCGCUAGGCAGCUGUGUAACCCAACAGAAGGCAAC